UGUGUGUGCGUGCGUGUGCGUGUGCGUGUGAGAGAGUGGACCACCAUCUGCGAGCGUGGAAGUGGUACAAGGGAGUGCAGAUGGCAGCAGAGCUUCAGAGCUGCUUGCUGGGACUCACUCAGAGAUGAAUUAGUGCGUCAUCGCGGAGGGAUAUUUGUGUGUUCCAUAUGAAUCAACGAUGGUGGACAACCGCUACAACACCGCUCUGGUGAUCGCCUGCGUGCUCAGCAUCCUCGCCACCGUCUACCUCUCGGUGGCCGUGGGCACGCAGCACUGGUACGCGUACAGCAGCCCCACGGUGCGCGGGGAGGCCAACGUGAGCGAGCUACGUUCUCUCUACGACGAGUUCGCCAUGGACGCAGAGCUGGACGAGAAGACGUGCAGCGACGCCUUGUUUAGGCUCAACGGCACCGUGGGCCUGUGGUGGCGCUGCGUGCUCGUCCCCGACACCCCUCAUUGGUACAAGGAUGCAGGUGCCAAGAUGAUGCUAGAGUGCAGGAGCUUUACUGUGCAGCAACAACUCACCCCAAAAUAUAAAGAACCAGGGAACCACAACAGUGGAGAGGACUUGCUGCGAACAUACCUGUGGAGAUUCCAGUUCCUUCUCCCACUCGUGUCUCUGGGAUUAGAAGUCUUGUCAGGCCUGAUCGGCUUCUUCGCCUGCCUGUGUCAAAGUCUCGCCCCAACACUUGCCAUCGGUGUACUUCAUCUGCUGACGGGUCUUUGCUCCUUAGCCACAGUGUGUUGCUACCUAGCGGGGAUGGACCUCCUUCACAGGGUCUCGGUUCUUCCCGACAAGGUGGACGGCUCACUGGAUGGGAAUCUCACAUCUUGAUGGUCUUCUUUGUGUACCCGGACCGCUGGGAUGGUGAAAGUGCGCUUGGUUGCGAGCUCACAGUUUGGCCUGAGAACGUCUGGAAGAGGGGGUCUCCAGGAUGAAGGAGGCAGAAGUCUCUGUCCUGUGGAGCAGACAGGUUGGGUCCAGGGUUCCUGUUAAGUUUUAUGUGCGUUCUUCCGCUUUUGAAAAGCUUAAAAAGUGUGAGCCCCCGAAAAAACAAUAGAGGACAGCAAGUGUCUGCUUUAUCCAACAGGUGACUGAGAGCUACUACAGCACAAUAAAGACUGGGAGAGUACAACCCCAGAUUUCCACUGGAAGCAAAACGGCAGCAGAAUGCUUAAAUACGCUUAAAUCUCUAGAGUCUACAUCAACUUCCAAUCUAUCCGUCAUUUCUAAGGUUAUUUGUUUUUUAAUGUUGUUUUUUUGUUUUCUGCCCUUUUUGUCAAAAAAACUAUGUCUUUUAUGGCAAACACAAAAAAUAUGCAAAAUCUUCCAUAUAAAAUAUUUUUCAAAGUGUAAUAUUUGAUGUGACGUAACAGGAGCCCUGGAUAGGUCAAUAAUUCAUGAAAACAUUGAUUUUGAUUCAGUAUUAUGUUUUGAGCAAUGACAGUUUUAAAGAAAAAAAACAGCUUUGUUUAUUGGUCAACAUUGCAACUUUUUUUAAAUUACAUUUCACCUGUAAGCUUUUUUAUUCCACUUUUGUUAUGUUUUUGUUUAUUUUAAUAGUAUUUUAAAAAUGUGCCGUGGGCCUUUAAAACAUUAGCUGUGGGCCACAAAUGGCCUCCGGGCCACACUUUUGACAUCCCUGCUAAAGAUAAUAAAAAAAAUUAAAUCUGAUAAGUCUAUUGAUAAAAAGCAGAGCCUGGCGACGCAUGCGCGUUUAUCAUAACGCACAGUCAGCAUCUCUGCUUCAGUAAACAAUGACGGUGAUGACCUCACUGUCAGCGAUUUGAGAGACUCUUGCUAACUUGUCAGCCACUUCUCCAAGAGACUACUUUUGAACACUACUUGCACAUUAACACUUCAAAAGGCACAUAUUUGCCCCGUUUGUUGACCUGCAAAGUAUGUUUUUGGGGUGGAGGAGUCUGGUCGGGUGCUGGUAAGCUUGAAGCUAACAGAUAGCCUGUCUCCAUCCUCGAACGAUGUCGCUUCAGCGGGAGAUAAAAGUUAAGUUUCCAUGGACUCACAAAGGCUAAAACAACUCAUUUACUGGACACAUAGAUGAAGUUAAAAAGGUUGACUUUACAUUCACCUUAGUGUUUACCAUGAAGACUUUGUUUUGACAGCCCCUCGCGGUAAAAUUGGCAGUAUUUGUCAUUGAUAAAACUUUCGGCGAAUCAAAAUUUACGACCAAUAAAAACGCAAUAAACGGGGACGGAAAUUUGACCCGGCAAAUAUAAACAAAGCAAAACACCAGUGGAAAGCGAUAAUCGAUAAAAUAAAAUAAAACAAGCAAACUGGGUGGUAAAAAAAAAAAUCCGCGUUCGGCUUGCGCGCCGGCUUCUGAAAUCUCCUUUCUGAUUUCAAUGCGUAAAAAGACACAAAAAUUGCGUUAACGCUAACACUGUACAAAUGCGAUUACCGUAUGCAAAUAGUAUUUUUUUUUGCCAAAAGAUUAUUUUUAUGUUUAAUAAAUUGUAAUCUUACGAGAAUAAUUACAUUUCUAGAAAAAAAAUCAUAAUUGUUCAAUAUCAAAUUGUAACAUGACCAGAAUUAGUAUGUAAUAUUAACGGAAUAUAGUCAGAUUUUUCAAAGAUAAAUAACUUUGUACCUGAAGUUGAGUAUAAAUCUUAACACAUUAAAUUCAGACUUUGUUUUUAGAACAAAAUAAAUAUUACGAGUCUUAUUUGUAUGUAUUUGUAAAACUGUUAAUCUAUGAGAAUAGUUGUACUAAGUAAAUAAGAAACUCACAAUAAAGACACUUUUUUAAAAAGGAAUACUGCAUUAGUACCGUAUUUUCCGCACUAUAAGGCGCACCUAAAAACCUCCAAUUUUGUCAAAAGCUGACAGUGCGCCUUAUAAUCCGGUGCGCCUUAUAUAUGGACCAAUAUUGAGCCUCCAACAGGUAAAAUGUUCAAUCAAUCAAUCGCAACUACAGUAAGCAGCCGCUGACUUCAUUUUCCCCCGUCUUAAUUUUCCCCCGUAGAAGAAGCGCGCGGUGCAUGCUGGGAUAUAUGACUGCGCGAGGCGUGCCGUUUCAUUUCCAUUUGUUUGUUUAUGUAAAGACCCCAAAAUGACUCCUAUUAAGAGACACGCUUACGACGCAGAGUUUAAACUUAAGACGAUCAGUCACGCAGUAGAACACGGAAAUAGAGCAGCAGCGAGAGAAUUUAACAUUGUCACUGAACCGCUAGACAACAGCAGCAACACUGACUCGAUUAAUGACGACUUCGACGCCGUACUCGCCCAACUGUUUAAUUCGGACACUGAUGAAGAAGAAUUCGAGGGAUUCGUGGAUGAGGAAUAACUUCAUAAAGUGAGCUUUACAUGUUUAUUUGGUGUGUUGUGUUGUGUGACAUUAACGUUUGAGCAACGUUGAGUUAUUGAUAUAUUGUUAUUGCUCUGCACUAUUUCGAGUGUUACUAUAUUGUGAUUGCACUAACGUUUGAUUUACCGUAACAGUAUCACUGUUUUUUACGUGUUUAUUGAAUCAGGGCAAAGUUCCCCUCCACUAUGUGAUAUAAAUGUUGCACUACAUGUUAUACCUUGCUGUUGUUAAAAGAUAAACAAAACACCACGUCACUGACUUUACCUCGGGGAAAAUAAAACAGCUGUUUAUUCAUUUUGGUAGUGAACAGAGUUGUCAGAACGCUGGUUUGUAAUCUAUUAAUAAAGUUUGACUGACCUAUCUGACUGUUUUGUUGACAUUCCCUUUAGCGCAGCUCCAUCUAAUGGAUGCAUAACGUAACCCCAGCCUCUACUGCAGCGUCUAUUCUAUGCGCCUUAUAAUGCGGUGCGCCUUAUAUAUGAACAAAGUUUUAAAAUAUGCCAUUCAUUGAGGGUACGCCUUAUAGUGCGGAAUAUACGGUACUUUUAUUUAAUAAAGUUGUAAUCUUACAAGAAUAAAGUCAGAUUUUUUUAAUAAUAAUAAAGUUAAUACUAUUAAAAAGUUGUCUUUUUCUUGCUAUAAUGUAGUAUUUUGUGACAAUAAACAACUAUAGGUAACACUUUUUUGCUAAAUAACUACAUAUAUUCGGACGGAAAUAAGAGAAGAGCUGAUGUCAUGAAUGUAAUCUGUGUUUACUUUUGUUAGUUAUUUGAUGGGAGAUUAAGUACAGUGGAGAAAAUCAAGCAUUCGCUAGGCAAUAUCAGAAAAACUACAGUAAUACAAACUAUUACGUCAAACAAUAUAGAUGGACACUUGGUACCAGGCAGAAUUCAUUGAGUUUUAUUCUCCAUUCUUACCCAUUCUGUAAUAGCAUAUGGUUUAAAAAUAUAAUGUUUCAAGGGACAUAUCCUACCAAUUUUAUCAUAAGGAGAAUGUUCCAGACUUUUUCAACUGUUGCGAGUUUUAUAUACCUGGAGUUGAGGAUGAAUGGCUGCGGUGAUGUUGUGCGUGUCCUCAUCUCUUGGAUAGUCCACGUGUCCAACCGUGGUGAACACAUCCACCGAUCCGCCAUUGAAAACAACACCUACAAGCACAGAAAAAGAAGAGCGUUUUUAUUAUUUGAUAUGCAAACUGUUUUUUUAAGUAAAUACCUGAGUUGAAGAGCCGCACCCAGUUGAGAAUGUGCUGGAGACCUUCUUUCAUGGCUGAGUAGAUGUUAGACCUCACCAAGCCGUGUGGUUGAGGCCCGAUCUCUAAAGCUGCAAUAUAAAUAUGCAUUCGUAAAUAUAUGAAUAAUACUUAGAGAUGCAAUUGCCUUCUAGACUUACUUACCAAAACCAUGUUUUCCAACUGAAUCCAGGGAAUAGGAAUCCUUGUCUGAGACAUCGAAAUGAACGUACCUCACUGGAAUAUAUCGCAUCUCUCUCUGGAACAACAUGGUACAACACCCUAUUUUUAUUAUUCAUGUGUACUCCAAAUAUUGAUAAAAGCUUUAAAUCGGGGGUCAGCAUUUUCCAUGCCAAGGGCCCCAAACUGAUAUAGAAAUAAAUGGGGGCCCCCUACUUACAGUCCAUCCGGAAGUAUUCGCAGCGCUUCACAUUUUCCCUAUUUUGUUAAGUUACAGCCUCAUUCCAAAAUGAAAAAAUGAUACA